CUCCUUCUCCUAAUCCUCUUCUCCGUCCCCUCCUCCCCUGCCUCCUCCUCCUCCUAAUCCUCCUCCCCUUACCUCCUCUCCGCCCCUCCUCCCCUGACUCAUCCUGUCCUCUCCAUCCUCCUCUUUCCUCCUCCCCUGACCUCUUCUCUCCCCAACCCGCCCCCCACCCCCGUCUUCCCUCCCCAUCCUCUCUCACCCCCCUGUGUCCCAAACUAUGGCACAAUAGCGUUCAGCUCCUCUGUCUAUUCUGUGUCCAGCAGGAGCCCGCAGUGAUUCAUUGCUCCAAUUAGGGGCUCUGCAGCCCGUGGCUCGGGCUGUCUGAAGGGUCUCCUUUGGGACCCACGAAACCCAUCAGCCGCUGCCGCUGAUCUUUAAGGAAAGGUCAAGCCGGACGCAUUAGAGCCAGCUAGUUUCUCCCAGGUCUAUCCUGCACACUGAAUAGCCAGGGCUGGCUCCAGACCUGGAUCCAAAGACCCAGACCCCAUUCUGCCAGCUGUGUAUACCUCAGAAAGAGGCAGACCUCUUAACUCUACAAACCUCAGUCUCCUGCUAUAUGCAAUGGGCACAUGCUCCCUUCACGGACUGGGAGAAGCAGAACCUAGGCAAAGCUGACAGGCCAAGCUCUCCAGAGACCAAGGCAAGAGGAUCUCAAUGUCAAGGCCAGUCUGGGCUACACAGUGAGACCCUGUCUCAAAGGAAAAGAGCUGAGGGACCCAUGCAAUGACCCCCAAUGUGGAGUGCAGCAGUAGAGGUGUCUCUGCAUGCUGACAGUGGGAUCUGGCAGGACAAGAAAACUCCAGCAACACUCACAGGCUCUGGCCUGGACACAAAGCCAGCUGUGUGGUGCCAGAUGCUUGAACACCAAGAUCCCUUAGUAUCUACUUCAUGUUGCAAAGCCAUCCCAGCCCCCAGCCUGGCCAUUCACAUGUUUGAAGCUCAAACUGGAUUGAGCCAUCCAUUUACACAUGCCUGCCAAGAGUCACAGCAUCUAGACUCAGGGUACCGAGCAGAGUCAUCCUCCUGCCUGCGGCUGUGGAGGGGCCAUGUUCCUUCCAUACCCAUCACUAUUUAAGGCAUGGGCAACACUGCAGCUCCCAGCAACCCUGGCUCAGGGCAGGGACGGCACAGCCCACAGGUUCUGUGGAGACAUGCAGGGCAUCUGGGCAUGGCUCACAUUUUUGCUGCCUGUGGGGCAUCCCCAGCCUUCCCCUAGUUGUCUUCAGCUCUCAGCACCAAACAUACUGUGUCUGUUUCUGGCUGUGUCUCCCCAGGGGCUGACCCCCAACUAGCCUGCCUUGUACUGCCCUAGGUUCAAGGGCUCAAUCAAUGUUGGGACCAGGGACACAGAACUCCAAACCUCACGUGCCUUCUGUUCUAGAAUUAUCAGGCCAUCUGGCAGGAUGGUACCUUCUGUAAUCCCAGCACCCUGGAGAUGGAUGGGAAGUUCAAGGCCAGCCUGGGCUAUAGAGUAAAAUCCUUUCUCAAAAAAUAAAACCUUGGCUGGAGGCAGGCAAGAUCAAAAUGCAUUUUAUAUAAGCCUGAAAUUUUCAAAGAAUAAAAUUAUAUAAAAAGAAAUAAGCCUGGCAGUGGUGGUACGCGUCUUUAAUCCCCACACUGGGAAGGCAGAGGCAAGCAGAUCUCCGAGUUCAAGGCCAGCCUGGUCUGCAGAGCAAAUCUCCAGUUCCAGGACAGCCAGGGCUACACAGGGAAACCCUAGCAUGAAAAACCAAAUAUAUAAUAAAUUAAAUAUAUAUAUAUACAUAUAUAUAAUAAAUUAAAUAAAAAAUCUGACCAGCAUCACACUGCCCCUCUGCAAUCUUCAUCUGCUCCAUGCUUCCUCCUUCCCAAGAGCCUGAAAUCAAAUUACAGCUAUCCCAAGGCACCCAGCUUUUUCCAACCUGCGGUGUUGACAUUCUUGCUCACUGUUCCUUUUGUCACUUCUCUCUUCCUCUGUGUGCAUCCUUCCCAGGACCCAGUUACCGUCUAUCCAUCUGCUUCUACAGAGGCAACCUGGGCUCUGUGUUUGCCCUCCAGCUAGCUGGGGACAAAAGAGAAAAACUGAUCUUUGACUGUCCUUCCUUUUCUUGCUCUUCCCUCUCCCUCCUCCCCCCUCCUCUCCCUCUCCUCCUCCACCUCCACCCCCCACUUCCCUUCCCUUUCCAUCUGGACAGAGCAAGCACUUCACUACUUUCCACAGAAAGAGCUUCAAACAUGGCAGAACACUGGCAAAAAAUAUCCUCCUCAAAGGGAAAGAAUGUUACUAUGAAC
rnacentral:lncRNA from 1 species